rnacentral:rRNA from 1 species
CCUACGGGUGGCAGCAGUGAGGAAUAUUGGUCAAUGGGCGUAAGCCUGAACCAGCCAAGCCGCGUGAGGGAUGAAGGUUCUAUGGAUCGUAAACCUCUUUUAUAAGGGAAUAAAGUUUGGGACGUGUCUUAUUUUGAAUGUACCUUAUGAAUAAGGAUCGGCUAACUCCGUGCCAGCAGCCGCGGUAAUACGGAGGAUCCGAGCGUUAUCCGGAUUUAUUGGGUUUAAAGGGUGCGUAGGCGGCCUUUUAAGUCAGCGGUGAAAGUCUGUGGCUCAACCAUGGAACUGCCGCUGAGACUGGGGGGCUUGAGUGUGUUUGAGGCAGGCGGAAUGCGUGGUGUAGCGGUGAAAUGCUUAGAUAUCACACAGAACCCCGAUUGCGAAGGCAGCCUGCCAAGCCAUGACUGACGCUGAUGCACGAAAGCGUGGGGAUCAAACAGGAUUAGAUACCCCAGUAGUC